GGAGUCCAGCACUUAGCUUCAAACACUAUGGAAGCCACUCUGGGCCACUGUGGCUCCAGAGAAAGACAUAGUAAACGUUGCCUGCAGAUGCCAGCCUCAAAAGAGUGAUCCUUAUCUUUGACACCUGGAGACUGGAUUACUGCCCUGCUUUUGGAAUCCCCCAGAGGUAGCAGCAUCUUGAGGGUAAUGCCAGACACGAUCUGCUCCAUAAGGUAG